GACCUUCUUUUGUUCUAUUUUCGUGGGCUUUUCUCUUUGUCUUUCAGACACCACUAUUCUGGACUCCUUCUCCCCAUUCUAACUACCUAACAAUUGAUUCAGAGUUUGUGAUCAGCUAAGGUCUAAUUUCCUCCAGAUAUUUUAGUGGUCAAGAGAAAACAUUCUUUCUCUGGAAAGGAGUAUUUCUCCAUCUGAGGGCCUGUGUGGUCCCUGGGGAGGGGCCAUCUGUGGAUGCACCCGUGAUACUAUUUGUGGACAUUUAGGAACAUGCAUCAAGGCUACUAAGAGCAGAGUUGGUUUGCUCUUUCUGAAUGUCUUUAGAGAGGAAGCUGAUCCUGGGAAGGAGAAGAGAGCCCCUGGCUGCUCCAGGGGGAGAAAAGGGACCCUGGAUAUGAUGAUGUUAAACUCAGUGCCCCUGGAACUUCCAGAGUGACUUUCUUGUGAUUUGUAUUAAAUACAAGAUGAUGCCUCAGAUAUUCUAAUUGUCUGUAUUCAAUAGAGUAGUGCUGACUUGUGAUUGUGUUAUAUGGAAAUUGCUCAAAGUGAAAUAUUCUGAAUAAAGUAGCUUUUUUUGCUUUGUUAAUUAUUACCAAGUUCCAUGUCAAAUGCUUUUAGAGGAUUGGUCUGUAAACACCAUUUUCCUCAAAGGAAAUACAGGAUAAGUGCACUGCCCUGAUUUCUCACCUCCUUCAAAGGCUAGUAAGGGCAUGAAUUUGCCCAGGAUCACAGAUGCUCCAGGUCACUCUUGCUUAGAAAAAGCAUCUAAACUUGGUCCACAUUCACACCCUC
rnacentral:lncRNA from 1 species